CUGCAUCUUUGACAGCCUGAGCCCUCUGAUGUGGGGAACCUCGGGUUUUAUUAUUUCAGAUGCAACAUUAAUGUCCCUGCGCUUUCUGCCCGCCCAUUUUCCAUGGCGAUUCGGAUUGAAUAGGGGAUGACAAAU
ensembl:snoRNA small nucleolar RNA SNORA31